CAAAUUAAGUUGUAACUGAUCACUUUUCUUCAAAUUUCAACAUCAAAUUUAAUAUUUUCAAAGGCAUUGAAAUGGUCUUCUCUCCUUGAUUCUUACUGAAGAAAUAUAGCCUGCAAUGGAGUCCAGCAGUGCCAGAUCCACAACACACAGCCCACGAGUCUGUAGCCGGGGGCAGCGCCGAGGAGAGCAAGGAGAGUGUGCUUUCCAGGCGGAUCUGCAGGGUGGAAAUCCCAGCUCUGCAACGACCUGGGCCAGAUCUGCGGUGCACUCAUUAGAAGACCUGUAAGGCCUGUCCAGCUGACUUCAAGGCUGAACAAUCACCAACACCAUUUUAUCACCAAGCUACUACAACUCCUGCUGCAAUCUCAAUACGGGGGGCUGUAACACCUACAUUCAGUAACAAAAUUAA